CUUUAUACAGAUAGUUUUUCACUGCGAUCUAAAAUCUGUGAAUAUCUUCGAGAUUUUUUGAAGCGGCACAUACAUUUGAUCUCUAUAAAUAUCCACACAAGACUGAUCUUGAUCAGAAGAAUCCAAAGACCACUAGGGUAAUAGCUCCCUUGCAGGUCUCUCUCCUUCAAACUGAAUAUGAUCUUCUUCUUCCUUUUCUUCUUAAGAAACUAGGAAGAAGAAGAAGGCUCUUCCUCUUGGGCAACAAGAAGAGAGGAGGGUCUUAGGUGGCAACAAGAGGAGAAGAGGGGUUGGAUCCAAAACUUAGGGCAUCCCUUCAUCCUGGCCUUAUUUAUAGACCCCAUACCCUUAUCCAUCUAUCUUAUCCCUUUGAUUUUGAAUC
rnacentral:lncRNA from 1 species